CAGCAACAGCUGGCCAGAGAAGAGAGACACAUCCUUCCAGGCAGAGCUUUGUAAUGAGAAGAAAACCUUUCUCAGAAGUGCUCAAGAUGCCUGUCUUCAGCCCAUGUUAUUUGUGUUGGAUUUUGAAGGAAGUUGCAGCCGUGAGAAUCUGCCAAAGAAAAGUUGUAAGGGUUUAAAAUAAAGUGCUCCCAGUGUUGUAAAGUGCUCCCAGCUCAGUGGAGAAGAAAGAUGACUGAGAAGCUGCAAACUUAGGC